CACAGGUGUGGGGGGGUGGGAAGCAUCAAACGAAGACUUUGAGUAACUCUACCAGGCGUGGGUCCUUGUAGAGCUUUUCCUCCAGAGCCAGCUCCUCCCGCCUCCUCACCGAUUGAGCCGCUGCUCCAGGAUGCGGAUGCGGAACAUGGCCUGAGAGCAGUAACUCAGAUGGAGAUGGUCAGCGCGUGCGCCUCCUCCUCUUCCUCCCGAAGCUUCAGGAUCUCCAGCACCUGAAUUGGGAAGUGGGGGCAGACACGGUUAAGACACCCCCCCACCUCUGCCACCUCGCAUCUGCCCGCUCUCCUGUGGGACCCGACCUCCAGC